AUGGCAUGGUGAUGAUGUUUACGAAUAUUUUCAUAUGAUAAUUCAUAUGAUGAACACAAUCCUCCUACUCAUUCUGA
rfam:Vigna angularis cultivar Jingnong 6 scaffold188_179, whole genome shotgun sequence.